UACGUAGGGUGCGAGCGUUAAUCGGAAUUACUGGGCGUGAAGCGUGCGCAGGCGGUUCGCCAAGUCAGGUGUGAAAUCCCCGGACUUAACCUGGGAAUUGCGCUUGAAACUAGCGGGCUUGAGUGUGGCAGAGGGGGGUGGAAUUCCACGUGUAGCAGUGAAAUGCGUAGAGAUGUGGAGGAACACCGAUGGCGAAGGCAGCCCCCUGGGUCAACACUGACGCUCAUGCACGAAAGCGUGGGGAGCAAACAGG
rnacentral:rRNA from 1 species